ACAGUGCCACAGACUGGGAACUAAGCCUCCUUUGGAAGACAUUCAAGAUCCAGACCAUAGCAAGCCAUGAGUUAUAAGGAAUCACCAAGAGAGACUAAGCUGCAGGGUGAGAAAGAGGAACCAGUAAAGGAGAAUGAGUUGAAGCAGCCAGAUACGUGUGAAUAGCAAGACUGUGAAAGCCUGGAUAUCCUGAGUGGCCUGAAAACCAGAGUCCUGAAAUUUGUAAGAAAAGGAACAAGAAGCUCAGUCUGUUCCUAACAUUAGCACCGUAGAUAAGAUGUGCCCCUCCUGCCUGGGAGUGAGAUUUCUGUGUUCCCUUCUAUUCUGCCCCUUGCCUUAUAUCUCAGAGUUCACUUUAAAAUUUUUUUUUUUAAAUCCCUCAUUAUUACAGCCUCUCCUUUAGCAGCAUGAGCACAUAUCCUCUGGAUUGCCCUUCCUGGGUCACUCAAGAAGAAGUGAGUCUCUCCAACUUAUCAUGGCAGCAUCUUCUCACUCUCUCUAUCUCCAGGUUGCAGGGGAAUUCCAAAUCCAAGGGCCCCAUGAGCCUGUGGUGGCUGAGCUGGGUGGUGAAGCAGAGCUGCCUUGCUUUCUCUCAUCUCAUCAGAGUGCUGAGAACAUGCAGAUGAGCUGGUCCCGCUCCCUGUCCUCCCAGAUUGUACACCUGUACAAGGAUGGGAGUGACCAACCUGGGGAAGUCAUGGAGGAGUACUCAGGGAGGACAAAGCUUGUGAGAGAUGCUAUCAGUAAAGGCAUUGUGGUCCUGAGAAUCUUCAACAUCUAAACCUCUGAUGAUGCUCUAGGUUCAGUUCCUCACUUCCACAUGGAUGUUACUGAGACCAAAGAAACCCAACUGGAGUGCAGGUCAGAGGGCUGUUUCCCUCAGCCACAGGUCCAAUGGAUAAACUCUCCUGGAGAUUAAAUUCCACCUGUGUCUGAGUUUCAGACCCAGGACCAAGAUGGCCUGUUCCAGAUAACCACAUUGCUUCUAUUCAGAGAUUCUGCAAAGGUGAACAUGACAUGUUCCAUCUGGAACCCGAUUCUGAAUCAGAGAAAGGAAGAGCAAGUGUCCGUAGCAGGUCAGUUUUCUCUCUUCCCUUUCUUACCUUGGAAACUUGGCAGACUGUCCUCUACCAGCUAUGCUCCACUCCUGCUUCUGCUCUCUUCCAUCACACCACAGCAGCCUUUAGACAGGACUGGAUUUGCCUCUCUUUUUUCUACUUCCUCCUUUCCUUUCCUCACCAGGC